GUCUUUGCCACCUACAAGUCGAAAGAACGAACAGAGGCAGUGCUUGAAAGGAGCUGAGGGGGCCCCCGCAGGCUCCCAGUAAGCAGAGAUCCCGUGGCUUCAGUUUUCCUGCCUAGAGGCGCCAAGAAACCUUAAGUGAUGGAUAAGUUUGUCGUGUAGCCCCACCCAUGAGGGGAAGGAGGCUGUGGAGCGGAGGCCCCCCAGUCCAUACAGGCAGCUGAGGAAGGAAAUAGCCUUCAUUCAGCCUCCAUGACCAUGCCUGAGUUCCAGUGGGCACGUUCAAGCGGUUGUUACUUAGCCAAGCUGGAAUUCUGAGGUGGGAAUAGACAGUGGAAGAGGGACUGCUCUAUCAGCUGCUGAAGCCCUUUGUGCUUUGAGGAUGCUCUUCUCUUCCUCUUGCCUGGACUGCACUGGACUUCCCACUCUGAGGAAUUAUUUUGGGGAAGCAGAAGGUAGCCUUCAGGACAUCACAUCACCAGCAU